UCUUCUCUCAGAUUUGAUCACGACUGCCUGA
rnacentral:piRNA from 1 species